GGGGCUCAUGUGUAGAAUUCAGAGGAAUCUGUGAACUUGGCUGGGGGAAAAAAAAAUCUCUGUUUAACAUCUUCUUCGAUUACGAAUGUAGGCAGCAAACCGCAGUGUAUUUGCAGUCCCUCCGACAUUGUCAUCAGUAGAAAUCACAGAUAUUUUCAUAUCACAUUUCAGCUGCCAUAGAUAUCUGGACCUAUGAUUUAUGCCCAUCACAGCUUUGAAAUUACAGCAGUUAUUAUACCUGCUGCUAGAGCUUAUUAUUUAAUGUGUUAAUAAGGAACAGAUACUUCUGUAUUACACAUUCAUUUUUUACAAAAAUCAUUAUAUUUCAGUGUAAUUGGUUUUCUUUAUAGUCAUGCUAAGUAUUUUAUUUUAUAUAUUCUAAAACGUUCCGAGAAAGGGUCCCUGGGCUUAAUCAGUCUGCUGAAGGGGUUCAUGGCAUGAAAAGGGUUAACACUCCUGGCCGAAAAUCAGUAAGCUUUAAUUCCCAAUUUCCCACCCUCCCUAACCCUAAUCUUUCAUAUAUCCAUCUAUCUCUGUCUAAUUAGUGCAAGACAUUCUUGAGCAGUAGUAAAUUUCAUUUAAUAGUUUGGCAAAUUUGCAAAAGCACAUAAUUUGUGGUUUGGGUAGAAGGUUUUUAAUAUAUACCAAGAGGUAAAUUUACAAAUUGCAGGCAUACACUGGCAACCAGUUCGGUAAUUUCUAUCAGCCCGCAAACCCACCAGCCCCCGCGUUGACUGCCCAUCCCAUAGAAGCCAGUUCAUUGAAACAGCCACAGAAUGGAGAAUUAAGUUCUUGAGAGGUUAAGGAGCUUGUGUAGGCUAAGUGAUGAAUCACUUGAUCAAAUGCAAGCUCAAAUCCUGGGAAGGAAGAGAAGCAUGGGAGAGAAUAGCUUUGAAGUGGCUUCUGAAAUGGCGGGAAUGCAAAAGAGGCUGAAUGGAGGAGGGAGGGGGUUGGGGAGGAAGUGGCAGGACCAGAUGUUGACUUUGAGGAGGAAGCCUGGAGAGAGGAAACCCUCCCUCCAUCCCAGCAACAUGAGAAUAGUGGUUGGGGCGUUCCCACUGUGGCAAAGCAAAACGAAUCCGACUAGGAACCAUGAGGUUGCAGGUUCAAUCCCUGGCCUCACUCAGUGGGUUAAGGAUCCGGCGUUGCCUUGAGCUGUGGUGUAGGUCGCAGACAUGGCUUGGAUCUGGUGUUCCUGUGGCUGUAAUGUAGGCCGGCAGCCGCUAGGGGUCCAAUCAGAGCUGUAGCCGCUGGCCUACACCACAGCCAUAGCAAAAUGCGAUCCGACCCGUGUCUGCAACCUGCACCACAGCUCACGGCUGUGCCAGAUCCUUAAUACACUGAGUGAGGCCAGAGAUCGAAUCGGUGUCCUCAUGGAUGCUAGCUGGGCUCACUAACCUCUGAGCCACGACGUGAACUCCAUAAACGGCUCCUUUGAGAGGCCAGUUGGACUUCUGGAAACAUCAACCUAGGCUAGACUCUCUGCAGUUUUUCCAGAGGCCGGGAUGGUUCUCUUUGGCUUGGGCCAGAGAAGAAGCUUGGCCCAGCCUCCUGGGCUGUGAAUCAGGGUGGGUGGAUAUGUGGAGGGCAGUGUUACAGGUGUUUUUCAGUCACCCCCAGAACAGAUCGCCUCACUUCCAGGGUUCUCUCAAAACAAAACAAAACAAAACACAACACAAAACACUCCAUUCCCCCUCGUCUGCCCAGGGCAGUGAGAACUGUUGGCAGCCCUUCUCCGUGCCCGGGCCUUCUCCUGUGUGCUUUUCUGCCAGCCUCUGGGGAAGAUGCAUCCCCACCAUCAUUCAUCAUAACCAAAGUUAUCCUUCCAGAGCAGAGCCUGACCGAUGCAGACUACCACUUUCCUUAGAGCUGGAGACCAGGAACGAAGAGUGGCAGAUGAAUGCUAGUUCCUGGGGCCCCAAAGCCAAGCAGCAACCUGCCAUGUGCCUGUCCCACUCUGGGGGUGGGGCAGAAAGGGUGCGACGGGAGUCUUCCCAGUUAUCUGCUUUGGGACUGGAGCACCAAAGAGCCAGCAUCCAUUCUAGCGCAGAAGUGGGGCUUUAUACCCAUGAUUGCUGAUUGCCUGUCGGCUCUGACUAUCCUUUCUUUCCUCUUUCCCCUUUCCCUUCAUCAUUCCUUUCCCCCCUUCUUUCCUGCCAUCCAAUACAUACUGACUGAUUACUUGCUCUGGGCCAGGUCCUGGGCUAGAAAAGGAGUGUCCAGUUCAACAGAGAGAGAGAAUCAGAUGCUGAUGACAGGACAGUUUGAUGCAUGUAUUGACAGGCAUUCUUAUAGGACCUGUCAGAACCCAGAAUUGGGGCUGGGAGGGGGUCACCCAUCCUGACCAGUGUGUGGAGAAGGGGAAGACCCCCGUAGUGAAGCAUCUUGAGGGUUGAGUAGGACUCACCAGCUGGAGGAAGAAGGAGCAGGAUUAGGAUUCUGUGCAUCGGGAGCAGAAGGAAGUCCAGAAGAUGCAUAGCUAUGGCAUAUAUGGAGAGCUCCAGAGGAUCACUUGUUCACUGAGUUUUGGUUCUCUCUCCUAUAAAAUAAGAAUAAUACCAAAGUCAUAGCUGGCACACACAAAACAUCCUUUCUCCCUUUUUUCUCAAUUUAUUUUAUUUUUUUACCAGAAGGUUUUUUGUUUUUGUUUUUGUCUUGUUGUCUUUUUAGGGCCACACUCACAGCAUAUGGAGGUUCCCAGGCUAGGGAUCUAAUUGGAGCUGUAGCCACCGGCCUACACCACAGCCACAGCAAUGCCAGAUCCAAGCCACGUCUGCGACCUACACCACAGCUCAUGGCAACACCAGAUCCUUGACCCACUGAGCACGGCCAGGGAUCGAACCCAUAACCUCAGAGUUCCUAGUCAGAUUCUUUUCCACUGCGCCACGAUGGGAAAUCCCGGAAAGUUUUUUUUUCUUUUUCUUUUAUUUUUUAUUAUUAUUAUUUUUAACAGUUAUUUCCCCAAUACAAAUUUUUUUCCUACUGUACAGCAUGGUGACCCAGUUACACAUACAUGUACACAUUCUAUUUUUGCACAUUAUCAUCCUCCAUCAUAAGUGACUAGACAUAGUUCCCAGGGCUACACAGCCAGAAAGAUUUCAUAUGAAGAAAUAAUGGCAAUGAGAAGUGGCAUGUGCAAAGUGCUGGAGUCAGGGGACAUCUGAUGGAGGGGAUGGAGCUUUUUGGAGGGGGGGCAGUAUUAACUGAGGUUGAUAUUUAGGAUUAGGACAAAUUGGCGCAAUUUGAGCAGAUCCUUGCAGGAUGGGAAAGACUCUGGUGGAAAAGACAGAAAACGGCGUCCUGAAGGGGUCGGUGCGGCAUGAGCAAAGACACAGGUGUGUUCAGGCACAAGAUGAGGUGUGGUAGCAUUUGUUAGGGACAGAAGAGGUGGGGAUGAGACUGGAAAGGUGGGCUGAGACCACUUUGAUGCCUAACUAGGGGGCACACAGGAGACAUUUUGCCUGAAUGUGUGUUUUGUUGGACAUGCACAGCAUAAAAAAAAAAAGAGAGAGAGAGAAAGAAAAGAGUUAAGUCAAUAUUAAAAGAUCAGAUUUUACAUAAAUCUGCAUUCCUGAUGUCAUUCAGAAAAAAAAAAAAAAAUCAGGUCUGGCAACACGAGCCUUGAAUUAAUUCCCACGUGGCCAGAAGGUGAGUGGCCAGAAGACCUGGCCAGAAGGUGAAUGGUGGACAUUCAGGAUGUCCCUGCAGCCCACCGUCACAGGUUGCAUCUCUCCCUGGCCAAUUAGCUUGAAUACUCUCCACCAUUCAAAUCACUCUUGAGUUAAUACAGUAUGUUCAGAAAGCUCCAAAUAAGAUGCUAAUGCAUUACAAGGGAGGAGAAAGAAAAUUCUAAACCAUUAACAUUUUGGUUCCUUUAUUAGAUUCGGGAAUGAAUUUUACAACUCCUUGGGGAAAUUUUAAUUGUGGACUCGCAGUUAGGUGGCAAAAAUGGGAUGCUUGAUGCAUGCUGACUUGAGAAGGAAACUCCAGGAAGUGAAGGGUGGGAGGGGACGCCUGGAAAGCUGGAGUUGAGGGGCCCCGCGGUGAGUCAUUGGAUCCACUGGUCUACACCAUGGAGUCUUUGCUAGGGAUGGACACCCACACACCUGUCCUGGACGAAUCUUUACUGCACUGAAAGACAUUUACCACCUUAUUUUAGUAAACUUUUUGGCUUAAAACAUUGGACUCUUGAAGGACAAGGUGAAAUUCAUGUGGUUUUUUGAUAAAAAAACUAAUGGAAAAGAGAUAAUUUCUUCUACUUUUUCAAUAGCUUUUGGAGUGUCUGUGAGCAGGUGGUCUUUAUAAUUUGAAAUACUCAACAAAACCUACUGGAAAUUUUGUAUUAAUAAGUUAUUAAAAAUAUUAUACCAGUUAGUAGCAAACAUUUAAAGUAACAUAAAAGCCUAUGAAGGAGAAAACUCUACAAACUGUCAAGAAUUGGUAGUUAGAGAAUGGGAGAGUUUAGACUGUAUUAUUCUAGAUUUGGCACAAUAUCCAUAUGAGAUCUAACUAUAUCUUUGUAUAGAUCUAGAUAUAUUCACAUAUAUAUCUGGAGAGAAAAAAAAUUUUUUAAUAAAAAUGAGGUUUCCUGGACUUCCUGUCAUAGCUCAGCGGUAACGAAUCCGACUAGUAUCCCUGAGGACACAGGUUCAAUCCCUGGCCUUGCUCAGUGGGUUAAGGAUCCAGGGUUGCCAUGAGCUGUGAUGUAGGUUGUAGAUGAUGCUUGGAUCUGGCGUUGCUGUGGCUGUGGUGCAGGCUGGCAGCUGCAGCUCCAAUUCAACCCCUAGCCUGGGAACUUCCUUACACCACGGGCAUGGCCCUAAAAAGACAAAAAAUAAAAGAGAGAAGAGAGGUUUCCCAUACUGUUCUGCUACGUUUUUCUCCUAAUGCUCCAUCUUGAACAUAUUGCAGAUCAUUCCAUCACCUCUAGGCCUAAAGAGAGUAAGAGCUGGUUUUGAGUUCCCUCUGUGCUCCUCUGAGCUUCCGUUCUCUGCUCUAUAAAAUAGAGGUAAUGAUUCCUUCCUUCAAAGGUUAGGAUGAGAGUUAACUAGAAUGCAAAUGUGCUCAGCACAGCUUAUUGGAUAUUGGGUGAUCAGAGCCCAUCACACCAUCGAGAAAAUGUCUUUCAUUCCUUGGAUUCCUCAUCCUCCACCCUUGGCCCCCUUGGGAGAGGACGGAUGGGAGGCUGUGGGGAAUGAGGCUGAGUCUGGGGUGAAUCACAGUGUUUCAUAAUGGAGUUUAAAAUCCUCCUUUCAGUGCGGAGUCAUGUUAAAAUCUGAAGCAGCUCAUUAACAGAUGCCGCCCGAUUUUGUUUAGGACACUGUCUCUGGGCUCACUUUUAUUUAUUCAGCUGCAGGAGGAUGCCUGAAGCCAGGUAUGUGGAUAGGAAGGCUGUGACCUGGGCCUGCCCUUCGUGGGGGCGCUCUCUUGCCAGUGGGGGAAAGCCAGCCCCUUUGAGUACAAGGGGGAGUCGUACCUUAUCUUUGCAAAAGGCAUCCCCUCCUGCUACUGAUGUUCCCUUUUCCACUUCUCUCCUUCCCUUCUGCCUUUAGAUGACCAUAUGCUUUUUCAUUUGUAUCACACAUUUUUCACAAAGACCUCUUACUCUCGUUAGCUCAUUGAACCCUCGGACAAGUCAAUAGGUUUCAGUCCGUACAACGUGACAGGUGAAGCAGCAGAGGCCCAGAGGACCUGAGAUAGGAGUCCAACUCACGCAGCAAAAAGUGGACAGAUCUGGAUGUCUUGGCUUGCAAGCCAUGCGAGUCGUGCUGUAUCAGGUUCCCUCCUUUUCUAACUGUUGGCAGGAAGCUCCUGAGAGUGAGGGCUGCGGGAGGGGCCCUCAUUCUGGCCAGUGGGGAAGCCUUUCUGGAAUGCCUGAGGUGGUUGGGCUUGGUGUGCUGGGAGGGACUGGUGAGACCAGAUAAAGGGAUGGGUUUGGAGGUCAUCCCAAGGUCAGUGGAGGGGGCGGCGCAGAGCUGGGGAGAAUGGGCUGGUGCAGAGCCUAGACACCAAAGGGGAGGCCAACCUUUGUCACCAUUGGUAGGUUGGUGGGUGUUUCCAACAUUCGGUAUCAUUUUUGAUGUUUGGCUCCCCCUUUUUUUUGCCUCAAUCAGUAGCACACCAUAAAUCCUCUUCCUGUUUCCCACAGAGGACCCCUCUCCUAAUUCAGCUUGCAUCUCCCUCACCCUCUAUAAUCACAUCCAACGAAUCAAAACCUAUCUAUUCUGUUUAGAGCUAUUCAGAUACACUCAUAUGCUUAAAUGAGCAUACUGGCUGGAUACAUUUAUUUAGCUCGUUUAAUAUCACAGUAGCCUUAUGGACCAGCUCUUCCCAACAGAAAUAUAAUGUGGGAGUUCCCGUCGUGGCGCAGUGGUUAACGAAUCCGACUAGGAACCAUGAGGUUGCGGGUUCGAUCCCUGCCCUUGCUCAGUGGGUUAACGAUCCGGCGUUGCUGUGAGCUGUGGUGCAGGUUGCAGACGCGGCUCAGAUCCUGCGUUGCUGUGGCUCUGGUGUAGGCCAGUGGCUACAGCUCCAAUUAGACCCCUAGCCUGGGAACCUCCAUAUGCAUUGGGAGCGGCCCAAGAAAUGGCAAAAAGACAAAAAAGACAAAAAAAAAAAAAAAAAAAG
rnacentral:lncRNA from 1 species